UACGGAGGAUGCGAGCGUUAUCCGGAUUUAUUGGGUUUAAAGGAUGCGUGGGCGGGAUGCCAAGUCAGCGGUAAAAAUGCGGUGCUCAACGCCGUCGAGCCGUUGAAACUGGCGUUCUUGAGUGGGCGAGAAGUAUGCGGAAUGCGUGGUGUAGCGGUGAAAUGCAUAGACAUCACGCAGAACUCCGAUUGCGAAGGCAGCAUACCGGCGCCCUACUGACGCUGAGGCACGAAAGCGUGGGUAUCGAACAGG
rnacentral:rRNA from 1 species